AAACCGGCAACACAAGAGGUACCCACGAAUAUUGGGCCUAAAGCGUCCGUAGCCGGCCAGGUAAGUUUCCUGUGAAAUCCCAUGGCUCAACCAUGGGGCGUGCAGGAAAUACUGCCUGGCUUGGGGCCGGGAGAGGUGAGGGGUACUCACAGGGUAGGGGUUAAAUCCGUUGAUCCUGUGGGGACCACCAGUGGCGAAGGCACCUCACUUGAACGGGCCCGACGGUGAGGGACGAAGGCUGGGGGAGCGAACCGGAUUAGAAACCCUAGUAGUCC
rnacentral:rRNA from 1 species